GAUACUAUCAAACAUACAUGGUAUUAACACAUAUGCCUUACUCUCAUAUGACAGGAGUUUACGACCCUAGGGCCUUCAUCCUCCACGCGGCGUUGCACCAUCAGGGUUGCCCCCAUUGUGA
rnacentral:rRNA from 1 species